rnacentral:rRNA from 1 species
CUGGGGGAUAUCGGAAAUGGGGGCAACCCUGACCAGCAAUGCCGCGUGUGUGAAGAAGGCCUGCGGGUUGUAAAGCACUUUCGGCUGGGAAGAAAAGUCCGGCGUUAACACCGCCGGGCCUUGACGUUACCGGCAGAAGAAGCACCGGCCAACUCUGUGCCAGCAGCCGCGGUAAUACAGAGGGUGCAAGCGUUAAUCGGAAUCACUGGGCGUAAAGCGUGCGUAGGUGGUCAAGCAAGUCGGUUGUGAAAUCCCCGGGCUUAACCUGGGAACUGCAGUCGAUACUACUUGGCUGGAGUAUGGUAGAGGGAAGUGGAAUUUCCGGUGUAGCGGUGAAAUGCGUAGAUAUCGGAAGGAACACCAAUGGCGAAGGCAGCUUCCUGGACCAAUACUGACACUGAGGCACGAAAGCGUGGGGAGCAAACAGGAUUAGAUACCCUGGUAGUCCACGCCCUAAACGAUGAGAACUAGCCGUUGGGGGAAUUAAAUCUCCUAGUGGCGCAGCUAGCGCGUUAAGUUCUCCGCCUGGGGA